AUUGAACGCUGGCGGCAGGCCUAACACAUGCAAGUCGAACGGUAACAGGAAACAGCUUGCUGUUUCGCUGACGAGUGGCGGACGGGUGAGUAAUGUCUGGGAAACUGCCUGAUGGAGGGGGAUAACUACUGGAAACGGUAGCUAAUACCGCAUAACGUCGCAAGACCAAAGAGGGGGACCUUCGGGCCUCUUGCCAUCAGAUGUGCCCAGAUGGGAUUAGCUAGUAGGUGGGGUAACGGCUCACCUAGGCGACGAUCCCUAGCUGGUCUGAGAGGAUGACCAGCCACACUGGAACUGAGACACGGUCCAGACUCCUACGGGAGGUAGCAGUGGGGAAUAUUGCACAAUGGGCGCAAGCCUGAUGCAGCCAUGCCGCGUGUAUGAAGAAGGCCUUCGGGUUGUAAAGUACUUUCAGCGGGGAGGAAGGGAGUAAAGUUAAUACCUUUGCUCAUUGACGUUACCCGCAGAAGAAGCACCGGCUAACUCCGU
rnacentral:rRNA from 1 species